UAAGUUUUCAUACCCCCACCAUAAAUUAUCCGCCCGAGAACUACGAGCACAGUCGCUUUAAACUCUAAGGGAUUGGCGGUGCCCCAAACCCACCUAGAGGAGCCUGUUCUGUAAUCGAUAACCCACGAUACACCCGACCACUCCUUGCCAAAGCAGCCUACAUACCGCCGUCGCCAGUUCACCUCCCCUGAAAGAACAACAGUGAACACAAUAGCCCUAUCCGCUAACAAAACAGGUCAAGGUAUAGCCUAUGGAGUGGAAGAAAUGGGCUACAUUUUCUAUAAAUACAAGUACCUCGGAAAGAAAUUUGAAAUCUCCUCUGGAAGGCGGAUUUAGCAGUAAAGAAGGAUCAUUCAGCCCCUUUUAAACUGGCCCUGGGGCUCUUUAUUACCGCCCGUCUCCCUCCUUCG
rnacentral:rRNA from 1 species